AUAGUUCAGUGCAGGUCUGCAGGAAGGGCCUGCCUCCACUCAUGCAGGUACCUGGGAUCACCUGUCCAUUGGCUACACUGCCCUUUAGGGCCUCCAAAUCCCCAGCUGAAUUAUUCCCAUCCAUCUAGUAGGAAAGGAAAAAAGAAUGUUGAAGGAUCAUGCAAAAUGUUUUAGGGGCCAGUCCUGGACGUAAAAUAUGUUACAUUGGCUAGAAUGCUGUUACACAUUGCCACCUAUUUCAAGAGAUGCUGAGAUUUGGAGUCUUCUUGGGUGCCCAGAGAUUUGAGUAUCACCUAGCACUGUUUCUGCUUCAGGAAGGACAUGCUUUUCCUUUUCGUAUCCUCUACCUGAAGCAAUAUAUCACGUACUCAGCAGACGCUCAAUAAGUGUUUGAGAAAUGAAGAAACAAAAAGACAGAGGGAAGGAGAGAAGAAAAGAAACAAGAUUACAGAAAAUUCUAAAAUACUCUUGGGCUCCAAGAAAUGCAUCUUCAAAUAAGGAACUUCACAUACUUAUGCUGAGCAAUGAGAGAGAUAUUUUGAGAAACCUGAAAAAAUAAGAGAACUUUGAGUUUUCAGUGCUCUGGAAAUGGCAAAAAGGAAUCCCGCCAUGGACGACCUGCUCCUUGCUCCAGCCUGGCCAGUGCUUUGAAGUGAUAACACCAAGAGUUGCUGUUUAGGAAGGCAAGGAAGAAACAUCAGUGUCUCGUCUAGCCUCAGAAAAAAACGACUUCCUAUUUUUACUACUGUUAUGAAUCCCUCACUCAUGGACACCUUUGUGACGUGACUUCCAAGUUGCUAUUCUAUUUUCUGGCUGGAACCUGCAAACUCCAAUCUGGAAGUAUAUCUCUUUAGGGAAAGGGAAGGAAGACCAGAACCAGUGUUUAUUAAAUACCUACUAAAUGUCAAA
ensembl:lncRNA novel transcript